rnacentral:rRNA from 1 species
UACGAAGGGGGCUAGCGUUGCUCGGAAUCACUGGGCGUAAAGGGUGCGUAGGCGGGUCUUUUAAGUCAGGGGUGAAAUCCUGGAGCUCAACUCCAGAACUGCCUUUGAUACUGAGGAUCUUGAGUUCGGGAGAGGUGAGUGGAACUGCGAGUGUAGAGGUGAAAUUCGUAGAUAUUCGCAAGAACACCAGUGGCGAAGGCGGCUCACUGGCCCGACAUUGACGCUGAGGAGCGAAAGCCAGGGGAGCAAAGCGG